GCUACUAUCUAGAUCUACUCUAGUUUAGAGAAGAGAGGAGAGCUCUUAUCUCUAAACCCUAGCUUUUGCUCUGUCUAUGAAUAAUGAAUAAUGAUCAAGGGGUGCCUCCUCUAGGGGCCAGGGGGUCUGGUUUUAUAGUCCCCUCAAGUGAACCUGGGCCGUCGGAUCAAACCGACAUUGAUUGAACGGUUAUUCUUGAUCCUUUAGGUCGGUGGAGCAUAAUCCGCGAGAUUGAGCCUGAUUGGCCACAGGAGGUGGGCGGGCGCCCAGUAGGACAGGGCGGGCGCCCUGUCUCUUGCCCUGUUUCGCCUCCGCUUCGGUCUCGUGGCUUCUGGAGUCUUCUAGAUGUAAGAUAAUUGCGCAGCACGUUAAUAUCUCUAUGUAAUCCCGACGUGUGGGCCUUUCUUCCUUAUUUCCUGAUAACCCCCUGCAGAAAUAGACAAACACCAAAACUCGUGGAAUUCUGUCAGAUAAAACCCUAAGUCUCGAUGUUGAUUUUAUUUGGAUCCUUUUCUUUGUUUAUUUGAUAGUUAAAUUUCAUACUUAAGGACCGUCAACAAACUCCCCCAAGCUUACCUCUUGCUCGUCCCUGAGCAAGGAUAGACUCAGCAAUGAAUCAGAAGUUGUUGCAAUAUCUUAAAAAUUUAACGGUACACAUGCUUUUAAAUAAGAUCUCAUCUCUGAGUUAGAGUAAACUGUCAAGACUUAAAACUUACUUACUUUACCUUUCACCAUGGGACUUGUAACCGUCACUUCUGUCUUGAGUAGUUAAAAGAUAGAACAGUCCAGUCAAGUGCCAUGUCGCUUAUUCUUGAUCAGCUAUAGCUCUGGAGUUUUUGCAGAUUUUCAAAUAAAACUCAGAGAUUCCUUUGUAUGACUCUCUCGUAUCUCUAUUUUGUGGUAUUUCUGGAUCCUUACCAAGGCAGUGAUGGUAUAUGCCUUCUCUCAAAAUAUGUGGUAUUUGUGGUAUAAGGGAUAGUGACAUUGUCUUCUCUCUCACCCUACUCUAAUAAGGCUUUAAUAUCUGGAGCUCAUAGGUGGGAGAUAAAAUAUACAUACUUACAAGACAUUUAUUGUAUAGUCAAACCAUGGAUCCAAAGAAACAAAUCAAUAAGCCAAAUCAAGAUGUGCAUGUGUGGCGAAUGAAUAGUGUAUGGUGAUGAUGGUGAUAACAAUGGUGAAAGUCUAAUUCUACUUUUGCUCUUAUGAGGGGAUACAUACCUUCCUUGCUUUUUGAAACUUUAUGAGGAGAAUGAGAUGCUCUUCUUUUUCUUUCCUCUCAGGUGGGUAUCUUGUACCUCUAAUUCUACUGUCGGACACCUGUCCAUUUUUACCUCUCGUCUCACUCUUUUUGUUUUCUUUCGAGGUUCCGGGCACUUGCCCCUUUUUAUUUCCUCGUUUAUUUAUUAUUAUUAUUAUUUUUCUUUUCUUCUUUUUUCUCUUUUUUUUUCAGAGCACUCAUCUCCUGAAAUAAUGUAGCAAGUGGUAGUAACCAAAAUAACUUGAGCAUUUAUUUCACAAGGGAAAAACACAGAUGUUUUUGGCUGUUCUCUCCCGAAUUAGGAGUAGAAUAUUUUUAGGUGAUUUUGGAGAUGGAAAUGGAUGGAUAUAUGUGGAUGGUACUUCCGGAGUAGAAGUAGCAUAUAUGAGUGAACGUGCAAGUGAAUCUUGAUUUAACCACAUGACAAGCUCCUAAGGGUCUACACAGCUUGACCACACUCAAUGCUCAUAAGCAGUAAAUAAAUGUGUGGCUCAAAGUCUAGCAAGCAUGUAUAUAUGGCUGUGGUAGGAAUUUAAACUCUCAUCAUACAGGAACUCAUCAUGCAACAUUUUAAAGAUUUUCAAAGAUAAAAUUCUCCAGAAUUCUAGCAUAUCUAGGAACAGAUAAACAGCAGCUCAACCUUCCCAUAUCUUAUCCGUUAACAACUUAGAUUUCAGAUCAAGUUUUCAUCCCACAAGUUUAGAUCUAGAGCAAGCUUUAAAUUAUAACAGUUAUGUCUAAACUUGAGAGAGAACUUUAAAUUUGCAAAUUAGACAGAGCAACUAUUCAUCAUAUCCAUGCUAGAGUUUUAUUAUUAAGAUUCAUAGCAAACUUUAUUUAUUUAUUUAUUUAUUUAUUUAUUUAGCAAACUAAGAAAAGAUAUAUAUAUAAGCAUAAAAUCUUUAUUUGGUUCUUCAUAGCUUAUGUAUUUUAAUAUUCUAAUAUAAGUAUAAAGAUAGGUAGAAAUACUUAGCGAGAUAAAUAGGGGUGCUUUCCCCCAAGCUAAAUUUUGACGUAAUUUCUCUUGAUGUAGCUAGCAGGUGGCAGAGGUGUAUUUGAAAGUCAGGAGCAUUCUGACAGCGAUUAGAAUGUCCUCCGUCUGCUAGUCUUCUUGAUUCUUAAAUUCUAUGGAGCUCAAAUAUACAACAAAGCUUGUGGAACUAAUUAAGUGUUAGCAUAAAUAUCUAGCCUUCAUCACGUUGAGCUUCCUCAAUAAAUAUUACUCCCUGUUUUUAUAUAUUUUUAUUUUAUAAAGUAGAAAAGAAAUAUUUAUUUUAUUUUUAUGCCACCAUAGUGAAGGUACUUAUGGGUUUUAUGCCACUCGUAUACUCACAUGGGGCUUAGUAUUUUUUAACAUUUUUAUUUUCUUUUCAAGAUAGCAUGAUUAACUAAACAUCUAUUUAAGGAAAGUAAAUAAUUAAAGGGAAAAGGAAAUGCAGAAAGGAUAAAUAUGGAUAACUACCAAUCUUACCUUUCGGCGAGGGUUCAAUGUUUUAAGUCUUCUUGACAAGACUUCUCACCGUGUUCAUUCUUCAGGUGCGUCAUUUGAUUCAGGUGCGGACCUUGACGUCUGCACCUUUUAAUACGGUGUCACCCAUGUUCUUCAUUUGCCGAGCAGUUCGAAGUGCGGUGUUAGCAGUAUCUUGCUCAGUGUGUUUGUGCUCGUAGUGUACCUGCUCAUAGAGACAAGGCAGAGAUCAAGUGCAUGGGCCCUGUUGGUGGAAAACACCAACAAAACCAAAAGUGUAUUUGUUCUUCUCUAACCUUAAGCAUAGUGAGCAAGACAAAGUUGAUGGAUGAUAAGUUCAUGAGUGUAGCACUUAUAACAUUUGUCAGAUCAGAUCGCUCAACCUUAUGGAAAGAUAAUCUAUCUAUGUAUAUGUCUUUUUCUUUACAUCUCUCAAUGAUUGAAUGUGUAACAUUUUAGCUCAUAUGAUUAGGAGUGUGGGAUCAUGGAGGUAGUACUAAGAACAAGGAUUAAAGGACUAAACAUGUUGAAUCAGUUAGGUUGGUUAAUCUAGAGUUGUAAAUCAUACACGUUUGUCUCUUUUAUUUAUAUGAACGCCAGAACCAAGGAGAAGCUUAUAAAAGUGAUAGUCAAGUACCUUAAGAUGUUACCUUGCUUGAAGAGUGAUGGUACAGUAUCAUCUUGUGGAAGCUUUCCUUUCUUAGCGGUUGUGCAUCGUGUUUGUGGCACCGUCCAUGGAUCAUCUCUCUAUGAUGAAUGAGCUAUGUCCUUCUUGUGCAAAUUGUUAAACUUCAUGUGUCACUCUCUUCGUCUCUGAUGUGAGUUUAUCUCAGGACUUCCCAAAUCGAUAUUGAAAGUUUUUCUGUAGGGGUUAGUCCGACAAAAUAUACCAAUAUCUAGUCAAGCAGUUUUUUUUUAGUUCAAUAACCAAACUAGACUCCAUGUCUAAUCAGAUUAAGGAAGGCUAUUUAACCUAAGCACCAUGCUUAAUUUAAAUGCCAAUGGAAGUAUGGCGAGUACUUCCAAACCAACACUUGCUAGUAAAUAGACAAAGGUAGCAUGACAGCGUUUAUAGAGAUCUACUCAAGUGGAGAUGAAGUAGUGUGAUUAGUAUUUAACAAAUUGAGCAUGUCUCAAAGGUAGGGACAACCAGCAUAGCAACAUGGCAAAGGAUGUUUUUAUGUAAAGUACUCCCCCAAGCUUAAAUUUUGCAAAAUUCAAGUUUGGAUGAAUUUAAUUCAAUGUUGUAUUUAUUUCCGAUCCUAGAAAGGUUAGUGACAAGAAUACCCGAAGGAAUAUUUUUUUUUACAAUUAUCCUUAUAUGCUCAAUACACAAGGUAAUGUUGCAAUUAAUUAAAAGCUCAUGUUACAAUCUGAUCAAUGCUUAUUUUAAGACACUAAGCUUGUCCUUGGGAAACCAUCAGUUUAUGUUGGCGAAGUGGUUUCCCCCCCGACGCCAACCUAUAUCUAGAUCAACUCAACGAGAUCUGCAAUAUUUAUUAUAGACAUAUGCAUCGACAACCGCCCUUUUAAAGUAUUUAUAAAUAGAAAGGAAGAGGGGGUUGGAGAUCUCAAGUGUGGUGAUGUCGGAGAGACCAAU
rnacentral:lncRNA from 1 species